rnacentral:tRNA from 1 species
GGGGAACUAGCUCAGAUGGUAGAGCGCUCGCUUCGCAUGUGAGAGGCACGGGGAUCGAUACCCCGGUUCUCCA